CCAAGGCUCUCUUCUGACCAAGAGAGGGACAAGUCCACUGAAGAGGCUUAUCCUGUUGACGUUAUCUGCAUGUCCUCAAAAUGCAAUUCUGGCACCUUCUGUGGCAAGAGUGGAGAUUCCAUUAAGGAAGACCAUUUGGGACCAAUGCCAACUUCCCAUUCAACAUACGAAAAUACGAGUGACAGGAUUACAACUGAACAGCCAAAGGAGCUCUCCGACAACCAGCAAGCAAUAAAUGAACAGCCUCCAAUUUACUGUAACUCUACCAAGCCAACCAUAAUCCAAUCUAACACACACCAUUACUCUAAACAGUCCACAGAAUCACAAGGUGAGGAAUUCAUUUAUUAUGUACAGCAUGCAGAAAGUCCAUCUGAAGAGUAUGAUAAUUUCCUACAGACAGCUGCCCAUGCAGAUGAGUUUUGUCAUUUUUCACAAACUUCAGCAGUUGAAUCAGAGCAGCUACGUCGCUCAAUACAAACACCAACUGUCCAGUCAGAGCUAGGAAACCCUUUGCAUAUCUCAGAUGUCCAGUCAGAAAACAUUACUAAGCACUUACAGAUCUCAACAGUAAUGUCGGACAAGCCCUGUAACUCCUUAAAAACUGUAGCUCUGCAGUCAGAGGAGCCCUUUGCACCCUUACAUACAGCAACUGUCCAAUCAGAGGAGCCCCUCGCAUCCUUACAUAGCACAACUGUCCAAUCAAAGGAGCCAUUUGCAGCCUUAAAUACAUCAAAUAUCCAAUCAGAGGAGCCCCUCGCAUCCUUACAUAGCACAACUGUCCAAUCAGAGGAGCCCUUUGCAGCCUUAAAUACAUCAAAUAUCCAAUCAGAGGAGGCCUUUGCACCCUUACGUACAUCAACAGUCCAAUCAGAGGAGGCCUUUGCACCCUUACAUAGCACAACUGUCCAGUCUGAGGAAAGAUUUACAUCUUUACAUCACACAACUUUCCAAACAGAGGAACGUUUUACAUCUUUACAUCACACAACUGUCCAGUCAGAGGAACCUUUUACAUCUUCACACAACACAACUGUCCAAACAGAGGAACCAUUUACAUCUUUACACAACACAACUGUCCAGUCACAGGAACCAUUUACAUGCUUACAUAACACAACUGUCCAGUCAGAAGACCAAUUUACAUCUUUACACAACACAACUGUCCAGUCACAGGAACCAUUUAGGUCCUUACAUAACACAACUGGCCAGCCAGAAGACCCAUUUGCAUCUUUACACAACAAAACUGUCCAGUCAGAAGACCCAUUUACAUCUUUACAUAACAAAUCUGCCCAAUCAGAAGAACCAUUUACAUGCGUCCAUAACACAACUGUCCUGUCAGGGAGGCCCUUUGAAUCCUUGCAGACUGGAAAUAUCGAAUCAGAGGAGCACUUAACUUCCUUACAUAUCACAACUGUCCAGUCAAAAGAGCCUUUUAAACCCUUACAGACAAUUGUCCAACCAGAUGAACUCUGUGGCUCCAUGCCGAUGCCAGCUGUCCUUUCAGAGAACCUUCUUGAUUGCUCACAAACUGAAACUACCUGUUCAGAGGGUCUGGACAACUCCUCAGGGACUGCAGGCAACAAGUCAGAGAAAUUAAACAAUGACUUCCCAAACACCACAUCCCCUGAUUCACUGGACUUGUGUCACUCCAAAGAUGCAGAAACUGUCCAACCAGGGGAGCAUUACAGCUUAAGUCAGCUUGCACACGUGAAAAUGGAUGGCCUCUAUCUCACAAGACAAGAAGUGCCAACCCAUUCAGAGGUGGUGUGUCAGCCCGUACAGACAACAACAAUCCAAGCUGAGUGUCCUAAUAUCAUGGAGGCCACAGAAGAGCAAGCAGACAGCACAGUUAUCGCUGGACAAAGAUCGCCUACUCAGAGUGCAGGGUCUUACUAUAUCAAGAAAGCAUCUUCAGUCCAAUUGGAGGAAAUCUAUCUAUCAAGAACAUGUGACAGUCACUGGAGUGACAGUGUCACUGCAAAUAAGCUCCGCCUGUGACAAUUACAACGCUUUGUGAGGAUGAGAGGAACAAGUCUGUUGAAGUUGAUGAACCCAUAGUACUACAAUGCAAGGUAUCAGAUCCUAAUGCUCAAGUUACUUGGUACAAGGACGGAAUAAGACUACAAGGUGCAGCUGGUCAAGACAUGGUGGCAGAGGGUUCCAUGAGAACAUUGGCUUUCCAGUCAGCGAUGGUGUCUCAUGCAGGGAUAUACAGCUGCAAGACAACAGACGAUGCAAUGCAGUUUCAUGUGGAUGUCAAAGGUGACA
rnacentral:lncRNA from 1 species